rnacentral:rRNA from 1 species
UCAAGGAUUAAGCCAUGCAAGCCAGCGAAGGUAACGGAGCGGCGAACGGCUCAGUAAGACAGGCGGAUCUGACCACCGGCAAGGAUAACCACGGGAAACUGAGGCUAAGACUAUGGUGGGUGAACGCCUGGCCUAUCAGCUAGUCGGUACGGUAAGUGCGUACGGAGGCGAUGACGGGUAACGGGGAAUCGGGGUUUGAUUCCGGAGAGGGAGCCUGAGAGAUGGCUGCCACGUCCAAGGACGGCAGCAGGCGCGAAACUUACCCACUUGGAGGACCAGAGGUAGUGACGAGGCGUGACGAUGGGUCUACGGUAAAUAAGUAGGCGAAAGCGACUGGAGGGCAAGUCUGGUGCCAGCAGCCGCGGUAAUUCCAGCUCCAGGAGCGUCUGUGUGUAUUGCUGCGGUUAAAACGUGCGUAGUCUGGCUGACGACCUGCAAGAAACGUGGGGUAUCCAGCCACACGACAGCAGGUAGGGAAGCCUUGAGACCGGGAAGGGGCGAUGUUAUUUGGCAGCGAGGGGUGAAAACCGAUGACCUGCUGAGGAGCGACAGAAGCGAAAGCGGUUGUCCGGAACGGGUCUGACGAUCAAGCGCGUGAGCAGGAGUAUCGAAGGCGAUUAGAGACCGUCGUAGUUCCUGCAGUAAACGAUGCCGACGGGGUUGCAGGAGCUGUGGCCCGAGGGAAACCGAGUGUAUGGGCUCCGGGGAUAGUAUAGGCGCAAGCCGGAAACUUGAAGAAAUUGACGGAAGGACACCACAAGGAGUGGAGUGUGCGGGUUAAUUUGACUCAACGCGGGGCAACUUACCGGGGCAGGCAGCGCAGGGAGAUGAAUGCGGAUAAGAGCCGUGUUCAGACUGCGUUGCGCGUGGUGCAUGGCCGUUUUUAAAACGUGGGGUGACCUGUCUGGUUAAAUCCGAUAACGCUUGAGACCCUGGAGAUUGACGGUGCCCGACGAGGGCAAGGAAGCGCGGGUUGAUAACAGGUCUGUGAUGCCCGUAGAUGUUCCGGGCUCCACGCGCACUACAGUGGGAGAGGCUCAUCGAAACAUGGCUCUCUCGUGGUUGGGAUUGUUGCUUGUAAUAGCGACAUGAACGUGGAAUUCCUAGUAGCGUGCUGUCACCAACGGCAGGCGAAUGCGUCCCUGUUCUUUGUACACACCGCCCGUCGUUAUCUAAGAUGGAAGUGCGGAUGAAGGCAACUCGGUUGCAAGAAUCCGUGCCGCUAGAUUGGAUACAAGUCGUAACAAGGUUGCAGUAGGUGAACCUGCCGCAG